rfam:Delftia acidovorans SPH-1, complete genome.
GGCAAGAGUAGAAGCGUUCAGCUUGCCGGCCUGUGCCGGCGCGGGUCAUUGCUCUUGAA